UACGAAGGGUGCAAGCGUUACUCGGAAUUACUGGGCGUAAAGGGUGCGUAGGUGGUUGUUUAAGUCUGUUGUGAAAGCCCCGGGCUCAACCUGGGAAUGGCAAUGGAUACUGGACAGCUAGAGUGCGGUAGAGGGUAGUGGAAUUCCCGGUGUAGCAGUGAAAUGCGUAGAGAUCCGGAGGAACACCAGCGGCGAAGGCGGCGUCCUGGACUGGGCCUGACGCUCAGGAGCGAAAGCGUGGGGAGCGAUCCGG
rnacentral:rRNA from 1 species